GUGAUUUUGAAAACUUUCCUUAUUAUAUUUUUGUCUUAGGUUGAAUCAAGACAUGUUUGGUUUUAUUUUUGACAUGAGAUAGACCGGUUGCUGUUCUAAAAAUGAUGUUGUCAAGGUUGGUUUCCUAAGGACCUGAUGGUGGGGGGGCUUCCAUGUCAAUGAGUAUUGAUUCUUCUAUUAUUAUAUACAAUUCAUGAGUCAGCAUUUGGUCCUAGUUAUUAUAUCUUUUUAUUAGUCAGUUUUGGAUCAGCUUUGAAUAACCGUUUUGGUUUUGUUGUUCUACAGGGAUAUUGGGAAUUUCUAUUUUUAUGCUUUGAUCUGUUUUACAAACAAUGAUCAAGAAAUUCCGUUCUUAAGAAAUAUCUAUGCUCACAUUAAUCUGACAUACAAUGAGUUUUAUCAUUUUUUCCUCAUGUUCUCCAUCUCCCUUCAAUUUCUUGAUGGCUGGUUCAAUGGGCUUCUUCUGUUGUUGUGGAUCCUAAAGCAUCUAAAGCUUGAAAUGAGAGAUUGAAGUUCUCGUUCAAUGUUGUUCAAUCUUUGUUACCAUUCGACUUUUUUCUGCUUCUCAUUACCUAAGCAGCACCAAAUAAUUGGAUUGCCAUGGUUGGUCCUAUGGGAAGUGCAAGUUCCCUUAUAUUUAAUUAGUUUUGCCAUUAUCAUAUGAUUCUCUCUUGGUUUAUCCUAUAGUUCUCCCAAAGAUUACUUGGGAUACACAUGGUAAAUCCGUUAUGGAUUCUCUGGAUAUUGAAGUGAUGAAAGGUGUCUUGUAUUAAACAAGAAAUGGUAUGAAAAUUCAUCCAUACAGGGAUAUUUUUUGUGUAUGUUUAUUCUUAGCAAGUUUUAACCGAAAGGAACCUAAUUAUAUGACAUAAAAAGUAGCCUUUUUGUGCUUGGGUUGUGAGCAGUUGAUGGAUAAUUGUAAUUUGACAGGGGAUUGGAUGUACAUAAAUUCUGAACCAUGUUUCUCUCAUGGCAUGAAGUUUGAUUUCUAUUGGACACAGGCAUAUGGAUAGGUAUUGCAUAAGGGGAUUCACCUUGGCAUCCCUAGCUCUAAUGUUUUAAUGAGGAUUAACUAAAUUAAUCAGGCAAGAAUUUUUUAAUAGUUUAUCUGUGUAUUUUUAGCAGUAUAAUUGGACAUGUUAUAUAUAUUCAUUUUCAGAACUAUGUUAUGCAAGUGUUACGUUUCUUUUUUGGCAUGAGGUGGCUUAUCACAGACGUGAAACAUGCAUUCUCAUGCUUGUCAGCCCAAGAUUUUACUAUCAUGAUUGGUAUUUUUCAUCAAGGACAAUAUAGUUGUUAUAGGAUAUAAAGUUAGUCAAAAUAGUCAUGGAAAAUCUAUAGCUCCACAUGUUAUCAGAGAAGUAUUGCAGCCCUCCAUCAUUGUUGCAUGCUGUCCAAUUGCAAUGGAAGUUCUUGUAUGUGAUGAAAUAUGAUGUGGCUGUCUGAUCAAUUGCACCACUUAAUCAACCUAGUCUUCCUUCCACAGCCUGUUCACUUAUGGUCAGUCUCACUAUCUGAUCUCAACAGUCCAAUGCAUAUAAAUCCUAGAAGACAAUGGUUUGCAGCUCCUCUACUGUGGGUUUCACUUGUGUGCCUGUUCACUUAUGGUCUAUUUCACCAUCAGAUCUCAAUAGUCCAAUGCAUCGGAAUCCUAGAAGGCAAUGGUUUUCAGAUCCUCUUUUGUUGGUUUCACUUGUCUUUAGUUGGUGAGUUGGUUCAUGGUUAUUGAGAGUGUUGAUAUAGAUGAAUCAUUUUUUUGCCUUGUGUCAUCAUCAAAACAUGUUCUCUUUUGUUUUAAUUAGCAGUGAAUGAUUACUGCACUACACAUCUAUGGAGUUGUACAUGGUUUUUGAAGAUUGUGAGAUAUGAUAGACUUUCAGUUAGGAUUCUUUUCUUAUUUGACAUUUAGUUUUGAUAUUUCUUAUGAUUUCACUCGGAUUGAGCAGUUUUAACAUCAGUUUUGGAUUUUUGAGUUGCUUGCUUGUUAUUGACUGAGAUUUUUGGAUGAAUUUUCUGGUUUAUAUAGACAAACUACAGGUUCUUGUAUUGUAAUUGGGAUUCGACACGUUGAUUUGGACUUGACAUGGCUUAUAUAUGCCGAAUUCAUUAGGUACAAUAGAAGUUCUUAUAUGGGAUGAAAUGUGAUGUGGCUAUCUAAUCUCAGUUGUCAAUCCAGUCAUCCACAGCCUAUUCAUCUGCCAGUCAGUUUCACUACCUAAUCUCAAUAUUCCAAUUGCAACAAAAUUCUAUAAGGCAGUGGCUUGCAACCCCUCAACUGUGGGUUUGACCUGUCUUUUGUUGGUUUCGAAUUCAAGAGUUUCUCUUUCCUUUUUGAUUGGAAGCAGAAAAUUAUUAUUGCUCUACAGAAACAAUGAAAUGGUACAUGGUCUUUUACUUUUGAGAGUGCUGAUAUUUCUCUUCUCAUUUUGAUUAGCAGUGGAUUGAUUAUUGCUUUGUAGAUCUGAUGAGUCAGUGCUUGGCUUUUGAGGGUUCUGAGAUGUAAGUGUUUCCCCAAUACAUUUAGUUUGGAUUAUUCUCUUGUAUAAUGAUUGCCAAGCAAAUGUUGAGACUUUUUUCUUUCCGGAAUUUUUCCACUCCUUAAUCCUAUCAGACAAAUUGCAGGUUCUAUUGUUAAUUUUCAGGUUCAGAAGGCUGAUAUGAUCCAGAUAGUGAUAACUAAUCCAUAGGGGAUUUUCAUGGUGCUAUUGAGUUUCUUAGUCUUGUUUUAUACAUGAUUGAGUGGUUUUUUAAUCCAUUUAUCAAGUUUUCAGGUGGACUGGGCAAAUUUGGUAGAAAGUGUGUUGGUUUGUUGGGAGGUUCUUAGUUGUUUUUUCUUGGUACAAUUUGCCUUUUGCUAAUUUUAGCAGAUUUAAUUUCAACCAAUCUCUAUCAUUUAUUUUUGUUUGGCGAUUGGAUAUUGAGUUUCUGCAUUGUUCAUGUCUGCUGGUUAACAUCUGUGGUUACAGUUUUUAUUGGAGGGAGGUUGAAUUUGAGUUUGAUGUUUGUUCCAUCAAUGAUCAUCUUUGCCUAUUAUUGAUAUAAUUAUAUAAUUAUACCCAAUUUUCAUACCUUUUUUUAAGCCUCUCUAUUAUUGUGAAACCAAUUUAAUGUGUCUGCCAACUAUUGCUUUUUUAAGUUAAAUAAAAAUCCUAGAAGGUACUAUAGUUUCCUUGUAUCAGAGUUUAUUAAUUGGUUCUUGUGGUUUGUCAGACAUGCAUAUGAGCUGACAUACGCCUGGGGUAAGGCUUUUACAUCCCCUCAUUUGGUUUCUUCUAUGAUUUUAGUAAAAUUUUAGGUGGCCCCUCCACCGGGAGUAAAUUUUGCGGUUACAAAAAAUCCUUGAAGGUAUCGACUUUGCUGGCCCUCCAUUUUGUCUGAGUUUGAUCCCUAUUUUGUUGGUUUUUGGGAGUCCUGUUUAUUUUAAGGUCAUAGUUUCUUUGCAUUAGAUUGUAUCAGAGCCAAGAUCAUGGUUGGGUUUGCAUUAGACUACUCAUUGGAUUCUUAUCUGAUUUAAUAAACUUUUAAUCAGUGUUUUGUCUUGGUUUCGAUGUCACUUUCUGAAUUUAUUGAUGCUUUAUUCCUUUUACGUGGGGAUAGAUAUAUGACAAAUUCUGUUGUACAUUUUCAGGAUUCAGAAGUUUGAUUUAAACUAUACAUGGAUAUAAUGAAUAAUUGUGACUUGAAUUCCAGUUUGUAGCCUGCUUCAAGAUUCAACCCAAAGCUUGUGGGGAAGAACUCAAAUGGAAAUUUUCAUUAAGGUUUGUGGUUGAUUCCAAUCCGCUUUGUAUAAUGGGUCUAUUAUGUAGUUUUUUUUGCAGUGGUCCAGUGGAUUUACUUUGUCUCUACAACACAGAUCUUUUUUUUUUGGCUUUGAGAUGUUAUUUAACUCUGUAUUCCAACUUUUAUUUAGUGGAUUUCUACCUUCUCCUCCGUGGACG